UUCCAUAGACAUAUAUAAAGUGCAUCUGCGGAUCUGAUCCGUUGGUGAGAGAGGGAAUCAGGUGAGAAGCCUGAGCGAUCCGGUCACUGUAAUCAGGGAGGAAAGCCCAGAAAGUCCAUUGUAUCGAAGGAUAUGAGAAGGAGGGCGGACCGAUGAUCUGUAAGCCAGGAAACCUGCUUGUAUAUGAUAAGGUUA
rnacentral:ncRNA from 2 species